rnacentral:tRNA from 1 species
GCCUGGGUGGCUCAGUCGGUUGAGCGUCCGACUUCGGCUCAGGUCAUGAUCUCGCGGUCCGUGAGUUCGAGCCCCACAUCAGGCU